UUAGUAACUGCGAGUGAAGAGGGAAGGGCUCAAAUUUGGAAUCUGGCGGUCCUGGGGGCCGUCCGAGUUGUAAUCUAAAGAGGCGUCGUCUGCGUCGGACCGUGUGCAAGUCUCCUGGAACGGAGCGUCGUAGAGGGUGAGAAUCCCGUCUAGGACACGGAGCCUCCGAUGGGUUGUGAGGCGCUCUCGAAGAGUCGCGUUGUUUGGGAAUGCAGCGCAAAAUGGGUGGUAAAUUCCAUCUAAGGCUAAACAUGGGCGAGAGACCGAUAGCGAACAAGUACCGUGAGGGAAAGAUGAAAAGCACUUUGGAAAGAGAGUUAAACAGCACGUGAAAUUGUUGAAAGGGAAACGCUUGAUGUCAGUCGCGUCUGGAGGCAUUCAGCCGUGCCCUUGGGCUUGGUGUACUUGCCUCCGGACGGGUCAACGUCAAUUUUGGUCGGCGGACAAGGGCGAGGGGAAUGUGACGUGGCUUCGGCGACGUGUUAUAGCCUCUCGUCGGACGCGUUGGCUGGGAUUGAGGACCGCAGCGCGCCCCUGGUGUUGGUGGCCGGAGGUGGGGGGUUGCUCCCUCUGCCUUACGUUUACGCGCUUAGGAUGUUGGCAUAAUGGCUUUAAGCGACCCGUCUUGAAACACGGACCAAGGAGUCUAACAUGCUUGCGAGUGUUCGGGUGGAAAACCCUUGCGCGGAAUGAAAGUGAAGGUCGGGAGCCUUUGAAAAAGGGGUGCACCGACGCCCGGCCCUGAGGAGAAACCCUCCGACGGUGCUGCGGCAGAGCAGGUGUGUUGGGACCCGAAAGAUGGUGAACUAUGCCUGAAGAGGGUGAAGCCAGAGGAAACUCUGGUGGAGGCUCGCAGCGAUUCUGACGUGCAAAUCGAUCGUCGAAUUUGGGUAUAGGGGCGAAAGACCAAUCGAACCAUCUAGUAGCUGGUUCCUGC
rnacentral:rRNA from 1 species